GAUGAACGCUGGCGGCGUGCCUAAUACAUGCAAGUCGAGCGAACAGACGAGGAGCUUGCUCCUCUGACGUUAGCGGCGGACGGGUGAGUAACACGUGGAUAACCUACCUAUUAGACUGGGGUAACUUCGGGAAACGGGAGCUAAUACCGGCUAAUAUCUUGAACCGCAUGGUUAAAUAGUGGAAUAGGGUUUUGCGGUCACUUAUAGAUGGAUCCGCGCCGCAUUAGCUAGUUGGUAAGGUAACGGCUUACCAAGGCAACGAUGCGUAGCCGGCCUGAGAGGGUGAUCGGCCACACUGGAACUGAGACACGGUCCAGACUCCUACGGGAGGCAGCAGUGGGGAAUCUUCCGCAAUGGGCGAAAGCCUGAUGGAGCAACGCCGCGUGAGUGAAGAAGGUCUUCGGAUCGUAAACCUCUGUUAUUAGGGAAGAACAAAUGUGUAAGAAACUAUGCGCGUCUUGACGGUACCUAAUCAGAAAGCCACGGCUAACUACGUG
rnacentral:rRNA from 1 species